rnacentral:rRNA from 1 species
CCAGACUCCUACGGGAGGCAGCAGUGGGGAAUAUUGCACAAUGGGCGCAAGCCUGAUGCAGCCAUGCCGCGUGUAUGAAGAAGGCCUUCGGGUUGUAAAGUACUUUCAGCGGGGAGGAAGGCGAUAAGGUUAAUAACCUUGUCGAUUGACGUUACCCGCAGAAGAAGCACCGGCUAACUCCGUGCCAGCAGCCGCGGUAAUACGGAGGGUGCAAGCGUUAAUCGGAAUUACUGGGCGUAAAGCGCACGCAGGCAGUCUGUCAAGACGGAUGGGGAAGCCCCGGGCUCAACCUGGGAACUGCAUUCGAAACCGGCAGGCUGGAGUCUUGUAGAGGGGGGUAGAAUUCCAGGUGGAGCGGUGAAAUGCGUAGAGAUCUGGAGGAAUACCGGUGGCGAAGGCGGCCCCCUGGACAAAGACUGACGCUCAGGUGCGAAAGCGUGGGGAGCAAACAGGAUUAGAUACCCCUGUAGAA